rnacentral:rRNA from 1 species
GACAGAGGGUGCAAACGUUGCUCGGAAUCAUUGGGGCGUAAAGCGCACGUAGGCGGCUUGCCAAGUCGGACGUGAAAUCCCUCAGCUCAACUGAGGACGUGCAUCCGAAACUGGCGAGCUUGAGUACUGAAGAGGAUCGCGGAAUUCCCGGUGUAGAGGUGAAAUUCGUAGAUAUCGGGAGGAACACCGGUGGCGAAGGCGGCAUCCUGGACCACGACUGACGCUGAGUGAGCGAAAGCCAGGGGAGCAAACGGG